CAAGAACACAAUGAGAUUGCAAUAUUUGGAGAAUGAACUUGCUAGAACAACUUGUAAUUUUUCUAGUUUAGAAUUUUUUUAAAAAAUAAACACUUCGUGUUUUGAAAUGAGUUUAUGUCAUUUAUUUCUACGAUACAAUAUUGGAUAAAUCAACUAUCAUUGAGUUGGAAAACUUGCUCGAAUCAAGAAGAAUUGAAGAAGAAACAAAUGGUUGGCAACAAGCAAUCUCAACCCGAGGUGGAAGUUGUUCUUUAUGCAGAAGAUAAGGGAAGAGCUAAUUGUUCUUUCAAACGUUCUUGUAAUGACAGCAAUGAUUCCAAGGUUGAAGUGCAAAUUGACAAGGGAUGUUUUAGGUGUGGCAAGCCAGGGCACAUCAAACAUGAUUGUUAGACGAAGGUAUAGUGUCUCAUCGUUGUGGAAUAUGACUAAAUUGUCCGAAACGGAAGCAAAUGUUGUACAUGAAAGUAACAAACCUUAGCAAGCUAAAUGGGACUUGUUCCAAAGCCAAAGAAUUUCAAGUUAGUUACUUGUAAAUGAGUUUAUAAAUUGAACAAAAAGCUUGAUGGUACUAUUCAUAGGAAUAAACUUGUCUUCUCGCUCCUGAUUUUCCACAACAAUAUGGUUUGCAUUGUUUUCACUUUGAUGAAGGUAGAACUCAAUUGAGACACUUGAUGCAUUCUCUUCUUCCCAUUUGAUGCUUUUGGGAUCUUUUGUCCACAGGAACAUACAGGUACCAGUUGAGCUAAGCUCAUGUUGGCACCUUCAUCUUCUUUUACUAACCCUUUUUUUUUAAUCAAUUUUAGAACAAUAACUGUCCUCCACUAAAAUUUUAAAAUAUAGCUUUAAAUAUGUUUUAAAGAGUUUUGAAUGUGCAUAAAUUUUGUGUCCUACUUUUUUAAAUAGGGAUUAAAAUUAGCAAUAUACAUAUAGAUAGAGAUGACAGAAAACAAAAGUUUUGAAAGUACAGAAACUAAAUUCAACAGAACCCACUUCCUUAUCAAAUACAAUACAAAUGCAAAGAUAUCAAUAAUAAUAAUUUAAAAAAUCAGGCAUCAAGGCUAGAGCAAGCAAGCCAUGUGUUUGUUUUAAAAGAGUGGGACAACAAAACGGGGUCGUAAACUCUGUACUCCACAAGCAACAAGUCAAACCUCCCACAAGAUGGAAGGAAGAAUGAAACCUAACUCUCGAAAAGAGAAUGAACUUUCAGCAAUAAACCAAACAAUUUGCAGAAUAUGUUCCCACCAGCAACACCAUCGAAGCCUUCCCAUCAAAACCCACAAUACAAAAAAGAAAAAAAAAAAUGCAUUUAUACAUACCCUUUUGCCCUUGGAUAUGGGUGUCGCAUUAGCAUGGCGCUCCAGAGCCCCCACAUCUCUUUGGGACAUUUCGUCGAAAACCUGUCAGUUGCAGUUGUAAGCAUAGAGCACCACUAAUAGAUACAUUCUGGUUCUGCCCUAAGUUAAACACCAAAAGUUGAAUUGAUCCUUGAAUGUUUGAAAUGAUACGAUUUAUGACGUUGAGCCGACAGAAAUAUGUGGAAGCCAAACUUGACUCGGCAUGGCCGAAUGACCCCCCCACCCCAACCGUUUAACCUUGCCCAGCUUUUUCUUUUUUAAAACUAUUUCUCACUUUUUUUUUUUUUUCAAAUGAAGAAAUAUGAUUUUAGAGUAUAUAUUUUUUCAUUUUCUAUUUUCCCAGUAAUUAUAAUACUUUUAUGAAAUUAAGCUUCCCUUAUUUGGGAUGGAAAUAGG
rnacentral:lncRNA from 1 species